rnacentral:lncRNA from 1 species
AUUUUUUAAUAUUAGGAACUUGGUCUUGAUAUUAUGGCUUAAAACGCCAAAUGUUUUUCCUUUAUGUAUUCUUAUAAACGUUACUGAGAAAUAUUAAGAUACAUUUUUAGAUUGUUGCUUCCUCCUAGGAUACAAUAUCAGGGCCAGGAUAAUACUAUCCUAUCUUAAACAAUUCAAUAAAUGACACUUUUCAGACACUAGAAAGCAAGCAGUUUAAAACCCUCAUCCCCAUUGCAGAAAUCAAGAUGAGCACUAUUAUUUCUCCCAACAUAAUACAUGGAGAGUUUCCAGUCCAUAUUCCAGGGGUAGUUAAUGUAAGCAGAAGCCAGUCCUCUUCCAGAAUUGAGACACAAUCACUGGAGUUUGGGGAUGCCAAAGUAUGCAGAAGAGAGCACAGACAGGAAAGACCUCCUGUAGAGCUGUCAGGGAAUUACCUAGAAUCUUUAGCUAAGAACUGAGCAGUUCAUAUGUAUGUAGAAAACACCCAAAGCUAUGGAAAGAAACACUUGUAGUGAGUAUAGGGAAUAAUCCUCGUAGCUCCUAUAGAUCCAGUAAUAGUUGGUGUUAUCAGAAUAGGAAAAACCUCAUAAUUCAUAAGACAUGGGUUACUCAGAAGGGUAUUGCCUUAUUAGGAAAAAUUCACAUAGAACUAAGGGCUGUUCUGAUCUUGCCUAUCAAAGCUUACAGUGAUCCUUAAGGGACUGGGGUGCAGCUCAGAAGUAGAGCAUCUGCUUGGCAUGCAUAAGGCCCUGGGUUCAAUCCCCACCAACACCCCAAAACAAAUGCCCUUUGAAAGAAUCAAACUGUUCCCAAAUAACUGAAUUAAAUAUUUCAGAACAAAGCUCAAAAAUAUUUAAAAAUAUAUUAGAAUAAUAUAUUUAGCAUCCAACCAAAGACAAGAAGACACCGGGCACCAUCCUCUAAUCCCAGCAGCUUGGGAGGCAGGAGGGUCCCGAGUUCAAAUCCAGCCUUAACAAGGCCCUAAGCAACUUAGUGAGACACUGUCUCAUAAAAAGGGGUAGGAAAGUGGCUCAAUGGUUAAGCACUCCUGGGUUCAAUCCCUGGUAGCAAAAUAAGUGAGAAGACAUGCAAAGAACCAGGAAAAUAUUGAUACAUAAUGAGGAAAAAAUUGACUCUCAUAAUUAAUAGGGUAUAAAAAAUUAUAAUAUUUUAUAUGAUGAUGAAGGGUUGAUGAAAGGCUGGGGUUGUAGCUCAGUGGUAGAGUGCUUGCUUUGCGCUCGUGAGGCACUGGGUUCGAUCCUCAGCAUCACAUAAAAAUAUUAUCUACAACUAAAAAAUGUUUUUUUUAAAAAAGAAAGAAAAUACACCAAAAUAUAAGCACAAGAAUAGCAACUCUUGGGAAAGGGAAGAUCAAAAUCCAGAGUUACUAUAGUAGUAUAUCUAAAAUAUCCAGCUUUUUAAAAGAAUUUAAUCUUUAUUUUUUAUUUAUAUAUUUAUUUUUUAAUGUGGUACUAAGGCUCAAAUCCAGUGCCUCACCUGUGCUAGGCAAGCACUCUACCACUGAGCUACAACCUCAGCCCUAAAACAUCUAGUUUUUAACAACAAUGAAAAAAAUAAGAAUUGCUAAGAAAAGGGAAAAUGUGAUCAUGCUUGGGGAAAAGUCUAUUGAAAUUGUCCUUGAGGAGGCUAGGGCAUCGAACACAGCAAAACUUUAAAUUGACUAUUACAUGUACGUUCAAAGAUUGAAAUGAAACCAUAUUUAGAAAAUUAAAGGGAAUUAUGCUGGGCACGGUGGCACACGCCUGUAAUCCCAGCGGCUCAGGAGGCUGAGACAGGAGGAUCAUGAGUUCAAAGCAAACCUCAGCAACAGCAAGACACUAAAAAACUCAGUGAGAUCCUGUCUCUAAAUAAAAUAAAAAAUAAUAAUAGGGCUGGGGAUGUGGAUCAGUGGCUGCAUGUUCCUG